rnacentral:rRNA from 1 species
UACGUAGGGUGCGAGCGUUAAUCGGAAUUACUGGGCGUAAAGCGUGCGCAGGCGGUUUUGUAAGACCGAUGUGAAAUCCCCGGGCUCAACCUGGGAACUGCAUUGGUGACUGCAAGGCUUGAGUGUGUCAGAGGGAGGUGGAAUUCCGCGUGUAGCAGUGAAAUGCGUAGAUAUGCGGAGGAACACCGAUGGCGAAGGCAAUCCCCUGGGCCUGCACUGACGCUCAUACACGAAAGCGUGGGGAGCAAACAGG